GACGAACGCUGGCGGCGCGCCUAACACAUGCAAGUCGAACGAGCGAGAGAGAGCUUGCUUUCUUGAGCGAGUGGCGAACGGGUGAGUAACGCGUGAGGAACCUGCCUCAAAGAGGGGGACAACAGUUGGAAACGACCGCUAAUACCGCAUAAGCCCACGACCCGGCAUCGGGUUGAGGGAAAAGGAGCAAUCCGCUUUGAGAUGGCCUCGCGUCCGAUUAGCUAGUUGGUGAGGUAACGGCCCACCAAGGCGACGAUCGGUAGCCGGACUGAGAGGUUGAACGGCCACAGUGGGACUGAGACACGGCCCAGACUCCUACGGGAGGCAGCAGUGGGGAAUAUUGCACAAUGGGGGAAACCCUGAUGCAGCGACGCCGCGUGGAGGAAGAAGGUCUUCGGAUUGUAAACUCCUGUUGUUGAGGAAGAUAAUGACGGUACUCAACAAGGAAGUGACGGCUAACUACGUG
rnacentral:rRNA from 1 species